GAUGAACGCUGGCGGCGUGCCUAAUACAUGCAAGUCGAGCGAACAGACGAGGAGCUUGCUCCUCUGACGUUAGCGGCGGACGGGUGAGUAACACGUGGAUAACCUACCUAUAAGACUGGGAUAACUUCGGGAAACCGGAGCUAAUACCGGAUAAUAUAUUGAACCGCAUGGUUCAAUAGUGAAAGACGGUUUUGCUGUCACUUAUAGAUGGAUCCGCGCCGCAUUAGCUAGUUAGCAAGGUAACGGCUUACCAAGGCAACGAUGCGUAGCCGACCUGAGAGGGUGAUCGGCCACACUGGAACUGAGACACGGUCCAGACUCCUACGGGAGGCAGCAGUAGGGAAUCUUCCGCAAUGGGCGAAAGCCUGACGGAGCAACGCCGCGUGAGUGAUGAAGGUCUUCGGAUCGUAAAACUCUGUUAUUAGGGAAGAACAAAUGUGUAAGUAACUAUGCACGUCUUGACGGUACCUAAUCAGAAAGCCACGGCUAACUACGUG
rnacentral:rRNA from 1 species